rnacentral:misc_RNA from 1 species
GUUCCGUAGUUGAACCUGCGGAAGGAUCAUUAAUGAGUUGUCAUGGGGUUCGAUGCUGGCAGCCAAUUUUUGGAUGCAUGUGCUUGCCCUAACAAUCAUCUUCCAAACACCUGUGCACAUUUUUGAGGGAGUCUUGAGUUGGUUGCCGCUCUUGGGUGAUUUUCUCGCAUUCCCUUAAAUCAUUAUACGCUAUUAACAAUGUUGAACGUGCUCUGUGCCGUAAGGCUAUUAAUAUAAUACAACUUUUAACAACGGAUCUCUUGGCUCUC